CUAUAAUAAUGAUCCAAUCGGAUCUGUCCGUCUGUCCGUCCGUCCGUCUGGUUUGUAGGCUAGUUCUCAGACGGACGGACAGACGGACAGAUCCGAUCGGAUCAU
rnacentral:miRNA from 1 species